rnacentral:misc_RNA from 1 species
UCCGACUUAACGUCGGCAGUCUCUUUAGAGUGCCCAACUUAAUGCUGGCAACUAAAGACAGGGGUUGCGCUCGUUACGGGACUUAACCCAACAUCUCACGACACGAGCUGACGACAGCCAUGCAGCACCUAUGCAGCGACUCCGAAGAGCUACUAUAUCUCUAUAGUAUUCCCCUGCAUUUCGAACCCAGGUAAGGUUUUGCGCGUUGCAUCGAAUUAAACCACAUGCUCCACCGCUUGUGCGGGCCCCCGUCAAUUUCUUUGAGUUUUAACCUUGCGGCCGUACUUCCCAGGCGGGAAACUUAACGCGUUAGCUUCGGCACUGAAGGGGUCAAUACCUCCAACACCAAGUUUCCAUCGUUUAAGGCGUGGACUAC